rnacentral:rRNA from 1 species
CGCCUGUUGAUCAAAAACAUCGCCUCUUGAAAAACUAUACAUAAGAGGUACCGCCUGCCCCUGUGACCAGUGUUUAACGGCCGCGGUAUUUUGACCGUGCAAAGGUAGCGCAAUCACUUGUCUUUUAAAUGAAGACCUGUAUGAAUGGCAUAACGAGGGCUUAACUGUCUCCUCCCCCCAGUCAAUGAAAUUGAUCUCCCCGUGCAGAAGCGGGGAUAACAACAUAAGACGAGAAGACCCUGUGGAGCUUUAAAUCACGAACAGACCAUGUCAAGAAUAACAAACAAGAGCAUUAAACAAAUUGGCCACUGUUUAUGUAUUUUUGGUUGGGGCGACCGCGGGGUAAUAAAUAACCCCCAUGUGGACUAAGAAAACAUUCUUAAAACUAAGAGCCCCCGCUCUAAGUAACAGAACUUCUGACCUUAAUGAUCCGGCCUGGCCGAUCAACGAACCCAGUUACCCCAGGGAUAACAGCGCAAUCCUCUUCUAGAGCCCAUAUCGACAAGAGGGUUUACGACCUCGAUGUUGGAUCAGGACAUCCUAAUGGUGUAGCCGCUAUUAAGGGUUGUAUGUUCAACAAUUUAAAGUCCUACAUGAUCUGAGUUCAGACCGG